GUGGGGAAUUUUGCACAAUGGGCGCAAGCCUGAUGCAGCGACGCCGCGUGAGGGAUGGAGGCCUUCGGGUUGUGAACCUCUUUCGCUCAUGGUCAAGCCGCAGUUUUGUCUGUGGUGAGGGUAGUGGGUAAAGAAGCGCCGGCUAACUACGUGCCAGCAGCCGCGGUAAUACGUAGGGCGCGAGCGUUGUCCGGAAUUAUUGGGCGUAAAGGGCUUGUAGGCGGCUUGUCGCGUCUGCCGUGAAAUCCUCUGGCUUAACUGGGGGCGUGCGGUGGGUACGGGCUGGCUUGAGUGCGGUAGGGGAGACUGGAAUUCCUGGUGUAGCGGUGGAAUGCGCAGAUAUCAGGAGGAACACCGGUGGCGAAGGCGGGUCUCUGGGCCGUUACUGACGCUGAGGAGCGAAAGCAUGGGGAGCGAACAGGAUUAGAAACCCCUGUAGUCC
rnacentral:rRNA from 1 species